UUGGUUGGAAGGGGAGGUAACUUUCUCCUAAGGCUAAAUACAGGCGAGAGACCGAUAGCGAACAAGUACCGUGAGGGAAAGAUGAAAAGAACUUUGAAAAGGGGGUUAAACAGUACGUGAAAUUGUUGAAAGGGAAACGAUUGAAGUCAGUCGUACUGACGGGGAAUCAACUUUUCGAGCGUGGUUUUCGUGGGAUUCAAAAAGCCUUUGUUCUUGCGAUAUUUGCGUUCUUUUGGUGCACUUCCUCGUAUUGUAGGUCAGCAUCGAUUUUGAUCGUUAUAAACUGACCGGAGGAAUGGAACUUCAAUAGCUAUAAAAA
rnacentral:rRNA from 1 species